rnacentral:lncRNA from 8 species
GUUGAGAGCAGACUUGAGUGAAACCAUGCAGAGAGAGACUCUGACGAUCAUUCUCCUUUUACUCUGUGCUGGGCUUCCAGGUGACUGUGGAGCAAUAGAGUUUCCAGUACUACAUUCUGAUAUAACCGACUGUAUGAAAAUGACAUGUGCCAGGAGUAUCAAUGCCUGUGUGGACACACAUGGACAGGCCCCCACAGAACAGCUCAAGGGUUGUGUUGUCCGCAAGUGUAGGAAAAUGACCAACCGUUGUGUAGAUCAAUUCUUCCAACAGUACCUGCCCCUGUUAUUGGCACAAAAUCCAAAAGUUUCCUCAAUUGUCGAACCAAAUGCCGAGCUUUUCAUGGCUGAAAUGACAGAUGCUUAUCUUGAAUGCUGGCUUGAGACAACAGACUCCAAAGUCGGAGGUUGUUUAAUGGACAGACUCAUUGAUAAGGCACAGCCGUUCAUUAUCCCGUUGUCUGCAUUGAUCUUUGAUGAUCCAGUCUUUGUGAGCUGUUGGCUCUCCCAUGCUUUGAAAGGAAUGGUAAGCUGCUUUGCUCAGCUAGAUGACAACUACAUCAAGGAAAUGAAAAAAAGGGCAGAGAGAGAGAUGAAAGACAAUAUUUCACGUUAUAUGACGUGCAUGAGCAAACCUGUGAAAAACUGGAACUGGUGUAAAGGACUCAUUGAUGAUCUUUUUGCUUCAUCACCAAAGAGGAAACGCCAGUACAAAGACUUCCUCAUCUGUUCAAUCCAGAGUGGGAUUACCGCAACAGCGAAAUGCUAAAACUUGUUCUACGAG